CGAAAUGCGCAUUUUAAUUAGUUCAUAUAUUUCUGGAGAUUUAUCACGAUUUAAUUACGAUAGUGAUCAGUGUGAGGGGCAGCUCUUGAAGCUUGAGAAUUCCAGGGCAACGUCCUUGUCUGGAGAUGUUGGGACUCUUACAUCCAUUAGUCUUCACCUUCAGAGACUAAUAGAUUAUAUGAGUGUGUCGUGGUUUAUCUUGGCAUAAUAUCACCUAGUGGGCAGCUAGUGAAUGUUCUCUUUAUGUAUUUGGUGGAGGAAAGAACAUAUGGAUGCAUCUGUCUAUUGGUUGUCUGAUGAAUCUGUUUACCGAGAGAAUUCUUCUUCAAUUCAAGCCGAAAGUAACCCUAGGAAGAUCAGUGGCUCUGUGAUUUAUUUAUUAGCCAAAUUGUAAAACUCUCCACCUCAAUAUGCAGUGGUGUUUAACACGGAGGAUGACAUCGGCACCUAUACCAUCAAAGCUAUAGAUGAUCCAAGGACCUUGAACAAAAUUAUGUACAUCAGGCCUCCUGCCAACACCAUCUCAAUGAAUGAGCUCGUGUCUUUGUGGGAGAGAAAGAUUGGCAAGACUCUGGAGAGGGUGUAUGUUCCAGAGGAGGAGGUUCUGAAGAAUAUUCAAGGUUAGGGCUGCAUUUCUAUUGGAUUUAAGCGCGUAAAUUGUCUUUGUUCUCUCUAAGAUUUAAAGCUUGUCCGGUCAUUGUAGAGGCAGCGUUUCCGCAGAAUGUGAUAUUGGCAGUACUCCAUUCUGUUUUCGUGAAAGGAGACCAAGCCAACUUCGAGAUUAAGCCGUCAUUCGGAGUGGAAGCUUCGAAGCUCUACCCCGAUGUCAAGUACACGACUGUGGAUCAGUAUAUGGAUCAGUUUAUUUGAUUAUCGAACCCGAUUGUGUUUGUUAAAUUUCUCACAUAAGCUUGAAUCAUAAAUAAUAUAGGAUGCUGCUUCUCAGGAUCCUAGUGUGAAAUGUUGCAUGCCCUGAUCAUCACAUGGCAUGUACAACCCCAAAGUCUGAGGACAUCCUAUGAAGUGCUUAGAGAAAUUACUUAUGUUUUGGAGAUUGAUAUUGGGUUCAUGGGCCAAGCCAAGCUAGCACAAAGAUGUGGGUUUUUCUACUUUUGGCUAUUGUAUUGUCUUUCACGUCUAAAUAAUUCACGGACGACCACUAUCGUGAAAGUCAGAUACUUAACGUAUUACCAAGGAUGAAAUUUCCGUCAUGUGCUAAUUAUGUAUAAUCUUAAAGAAUGACAAGUUAAAACAAACGUAAACCCAUUAGCGAAUUCCUGACAAUAUCGAGUUAUCGUUAAUGUUUCAAGGGCUUUUAUUGUAUGAAUUUUCCUAAUGUGGGCUUUUCAUCGACACGUUUAUAGUUUUUUUUUUUUAGCUGAUCACUCACGAGAUAACUAGUCUAUCUGGUGAAGCUAUUGAGGGAUUUUAACGCAAUAGACUUGAGAAUUUGACCAAAUAUCGUCGCUCGACUGUGCUAUCUGCAAGGGUCACUAUGGCAUUGAAAAAAUUGACGAGAGACCAUAGAUAGGUCGGUUCAAUAGAGGUAUGUAAUUAGUGUGUGGUUGAUUUCAUCUUAUUACAAAAUUCUCGUCGAAAGGCACUAAACCGAUUUUUUUCUGUCAUUUCUAUACCCUGUGCGGGUAUUUGAAAUCUCGAGAUUUUCACGACAAUCGAGAGUUGCCAAUGAGUCGAAGAUGCCCAAUGUGGCUUGAAAAUAAGCGACCAUGAGUCAAUUGCACUAAAAAUUCCUAAAAGAUGCUCGGUAAGUUAGGUCACGCUAAAAUCGUGCUCGGUUGAAAUUAACCGUAUAGUUAAACCUGAUUUCAAAAAUUGAGAAUUCUGUCAUGUCAUGAUUCAUUUUGGAAACAUUGACUCAUCCUUUAAAGAUUUUUCUACAAACUCGAGAUUUCGGCAAAAUUUCAAAGUAAGGCUAUUUUGGACUGGGAAAAUUAGAGGGCCAUUUUUAGUCACAUUUUUGUCCAUCAAGUUGGUUCAAUUGAUGAGAAAAAAUCAUGAGAUGGACGAUGGCAUCUCGGCUGAAUUUAUGGCAACGGAAUUGAGCCCAAUUGAUGAGAACUUGAAUCAAUUUGGAGGGAAAUUGUCCAAAAUUCGUAGGUCCUUGGAGUGUGCAACAUUUGGACCCUUGGAUGGCUUGUUAGGGAAGCCUUAGGUGUGCAAUUGGUUGAGGAUUGAAGGCUAAAGUGGUGGGGGUCUUUGUGAUGAGCAAAUGGGGAUAUUUGUGUUGACUAGAAGGCUUGGUAGCCCCCCUCUUGCUGUAGCUGUCUUCUUCUUCUUCAUUGGAGUGCUUUAUCCAUUGUUGAGUGAGUUUUGAGAGCUCAAAAUUCCAGAGAGAACCGGAGAAGACUCCCGUACUAUCGAUCGUCUCCCCUGCCGUCGUCGUGCAUCGUUGCGCCGCCCGUGCCCCGCACGUCUGCGUGCCCGUCUGCCUGCGUCCUAGCCUUCUAGCUGCAUCCCGAGCUGCCUUGGUCACCGUCAUAGCCUCAUUGGAGCUCCACCGUCGCCGUCCAGCCACCAUCAAGCACCAUUGUCGCCUGCUGCAGCCUCCGCCUCCGCCUCUCAUCCCGUAUUUGUUGACACCUAAAUUUUGGCGACCCGUUUAGUUAUUUAUCAAAAAAUUAGGGAUUAAUUUUAACCCCUAAAAAAAUAUUAGUUAAUUAAUUAAUUGCACAGCAUAUAGUUUUAGGUGCAUUCAUUUUAAUUUGCAUUUACAUUGGGCCGGUGAUAAAUGGGUUCAAAUUGAUGGUUCAGAACUUUAAUUUGGUGAAUUGGAUUAAGCCCACGAAGGGAGUAAAUCGGCCCAAGCCUGUAUCCUCGGAAAUAUUUUACGGAUUUAUUUGUGCGAGAUUUCAAAUUUUAGAAGAAUCCUCUUGCAAUCCUAAAUCAUAUCAAAAGCAAAUAUUGCAUUUGGAAAAAGGAAUUUUUGUGGAUACGGAUUUGGAAAAAAUAAAACCUUAACUUGUGAACUAUAAAUAGAUAAAAUGCGUAGGGUUUGAGGAGGAGGCCACAUGUUGAAUACUCGGCCACAUUGACGGGGGCUUUUCUAGGGUUUCUUUUGGUCAACUGAAAAGAAAAGAAAAAAAGUGAAGGAAAGUGAAAAGUAAAAGCAGAAGCAGCAGAGGGGAGGAAGUGAUUGGACAUUGACUGUUCAUCGUCUUCCCCACAUUCGCUGCCCCGGUUGCCAGCUUCUCUUCACCCGUGCCCGCGCUGCGCUGACGCCAUCAAAUCGUAAGCCGCUCGAACUCCCUCGUCACCCAAUCCGUCGCGCCUCCGCAGCUAUGAGCACCACCGCAAUCGGCAUCUAGCGACCGCAUCUCAGACCGCCCCCGGCGCCACCUCACCGCGACACCACACCAGAUGGGCCCGCUUCUGAUCAAUGCCUGCACCUGAAGUUUCUCGGCCCGCGACGCCCUUCGCCGGUGGUCCGAGCUGCUGCCGCACGCAUCUGCUCUGCCCCCAAUCCGACCGUGAAUCUACCCAGCCCGGAGUCCAAUCUCGCGUUCGCAAGACUACCAUGAUGUGUCUCCGUGAUCCAGCCCUGAAGCCUGAUGCCAGAGCCAUUCCUACUUUGCUGUCGAACCUUCCGCCCAGACGCAGCAACACCGCCCUGCCUUCGCCUGUGGUCCGUUUUAGCCAGCCCUCCACCCGAGGGACCAUCCGAGCCGGACCUGAGGUCCUCUGCUCGCAACGCCCAGACCCGGAAUCCCCUGCCCGCGACGCCCUGUGCCGAAGUCCGAACGUUGGCAAUUCUGACCGCGACACCCAUGUUCCGCCUACUGUCCCUGCUAUCCGGGUGCUUCCCUAUUCCUGCCGGUUCACCCUUUUCAGAGCUUCCUUGUUGGACUGACAACCUAUUGCCUUGGAGACCUGCGAGCAAGCCGUGCUUGAAAAAGGGAAAAAAAAUCAGAUUAGGUAGUUUUUAUUUUAUUUUUUAAUAUUAUGUUUUAAUGGAAUUGUUCUUAAAUAUAGGAUUGAUAUUAUGACAUGAAUUAGCCCCUCAAAUAAGGGAUUGAUAGUCUGAUUUUCACGCCCGAGAUCCGACUCACAAUCCCUUGCAAAAUCGUCAAUCCGAUCUCACGCCCGAGAUUCGAUUCGCGAUUUAAUUUAAAAUUGGCCAACCCGAUCUUAUGCGCGAGAUAUGGUUCGUCAAUUUUUGGAUAUCAAUCUUUUCUUGUUUGAUUUGCCGUCAUGGUGUUUGGAUUAAUUUUAUUUUCGUAAAAGGAAAAAAUCCAAAAAAAAUCGAAUUAGGAUUAAGUUUAUUUUAGAAUGUUCCUAGUCUUAGGGUUAUCUUGCAUGUUUAGAAUUGCAAUCUCAUUUCGAAUUUUUAAAUAAAAAUCCAAAAAAUGCGUUCAUUUAGGAUGUUAGUUUUCUUUAAUUUAAAUGGCACGUUUGAUUAUUUGGCAAUUUUAAAUUUCGAAUUUUAUAAAAAGAAACAAAAAAAAAUCAUCAUGCAUAUAUCAUGUUGAAUUAGGGCAUUCUUUGCACGUCAUUGCAUGUUUAUCAAUUAUAGGUAGAUAAUCUCUCCUAGAUAAAUUGCAUGUUUUUGUUAGGAAAAUAAAAAUGCCCAUGUCAUAUAGAAUUAGAUUCAUGAAAUGCAUGUCAUUUAGUGAUUGUUCCUAGGUUCAUUUAAUUAGAAAUUGUCCAUCAUUAGAUUAGGUCAUAUAAUAAAUGUCAUAGCUCGCAUAUUAAAUUACAUGUUGCGUGUCAUUUUUGUUGAAAUAAUUUUAUACGUCGUUGCAUUGCAUUACACGUCAUUAGAAUUAAGUCAUUUUGGUUAAUUUAGAUUGCAUAUUUAAUUAUUGCAUGUUCAUUAAGAAAUCACAAAAAAAUUUAUUCAUUCAUAUAGUUUAGGACAUGUUGCCAUGCCAUAUCACAUUGCAUUGCAUAUGGAUUAUAAUCUCGUUAAAAAAGUGAAAACGAAAAUUGAGUGAUGACGUGUUAAUUAGAAAUCAUAUCUAGAGUUGUUGAUGUGAAUUCUGAUCCAACACUGUAGAUGUUUUCGUUGCUAUGAGUUAAGUCUUGCAAUUUAUUCAUUGCUUUUCUUGGAUGUUAAAUUGAUGGUUUGUGCACCCGCAUGAUCGCCUCAUAUGUUAGGAAAAUAGAUUUAAAAUCAAUUCAAGCUGCCUGCCAAACAUUUUUCGAAAUAAAAGAGAAAUGUACCGAAAGGGCGUUAGAAAAAUCUAGCAUAACUAAGUCCCCGAACUCAUAGUAAAGUAAAUCUCCCGUUACUUUGCUUGGGUUUCUAAUCGACCCACCAAAAAAUAGAUUAGUGGCGACUCCUAAUUGAAAAUCAAUUGCAUGUUAAGAAUUUGAACCUAAGUCGCGAAUUGGUAUGGGCUUGGGAAAGCCCGAGUUAAGUCUAGGCAUAACAAUCCAUUAGCCAAAUCUUAGGUGGCUCACACCUGAAAAUUUGGUCAUGACAGUGUUGUUUCAACCACUUAGCUUGCUCUCUCGGCCUAGAGCAGAAGCCAAAGCUCAGCCCCUAGCUGAGGCUUUGUGGCCCGUUUUAGGCCCCGUCUGAACCUUCGUUGGUAUUGCCACAUGCUUGUUUAUUACUCACCUCUGCGUCGCCAUCGCCGUGGACUCACCAGCCCGCUAAAUCGGUGAGUUUACUUGCUAAACUUUGCUUGGGGAAUUAAUGACGUUUAGUGGAUAAUUAGUUUAGGCUAAGUGUGGAUUAGGUGGUUAGUUAGUUUGGAUUAGUGAUUUAAUCAUUUAGUUAUGCAUGUUAUGUGGUUAGAAUAAACUAAUUAAGGGCUAGAUAGAUUGUACUAUCUAUCUAGAUAGAUUCGGAAAUUUUCUAGGCCCGUUUAGGUGGUUAGAUUAGCAUUUUUGGCCUAAGUUAGUAUUUAUGUAUUUAAUUUACUUUAUUUAAUUAUUUUUGGAAUUUAUUUAAUUAUUUUAUAUUUUUCGAAAAUUAUACCAUAAUAGUCGAUAAUCGGAAUUUUGUGUUGAUUGCAGUGGUAUGUUUAGUUUAUGCAAUUAAGUGUUAAUUUGUGCAAAUUGGGUGGUGAUUGGAAUUUUGAUUAUUUAAUCCAAAAUUGUGAAAUUUUGAUAUUUAAUUAGAAAACCCCAGGUGUCAGGUUUUAACACUGAAAGUGGUUUUAAAGACUAUAUCAAACAGUUGGAUUUUAAAAGGUAGGAUAUCAAUUUUUCUGGUUCAAAUUGAUCGUGUACCCGCACACAAUUAUUUUACCAUGUGUUUUUCAUACGAAGAAAAUGGGCCAAAUACAUUAUUUUAAUUUGGACAUUUGAAUGUAAAGCAUGAUGUCUUGGCUGAGAUUUGAUGGAUGCAUGAAUGGUUAUGAGAACCCGUCCCUGAAAUGAGUCGGAUGGACAUGCCCUUAUAUGGGAUGCUCUAGCAAUGGAUGGCGGAUCGCGGUAGAGGCCAGAUCAAAGCUCGUGCAUAGACUGCAUUUAGGUGUAUUUCCUUUCUAGUUGGAUUUUAGGGGGUGAACUUGCUAAGACAUUGUCUCGCCCCGUUAUGGGCUCAACCUUUUCAGGUCCUUAGAUGGUAGCUCCUCUAAAGCGUUUUGGCCAACCCAAGAGGGUCACCAAAUAGGUCUCUGAGAUUCUUCUUCCCGGGGGCUAAGGAGCUUGGGUCAAUGAGCUUGUGAGGACCAUUGUCUGGGUUAAUGCGGGUCUACCUCGAAUGGUAUCCCAUCAAUUCAGAACGUGGUAUCGUCACGGGUGAAAUGGACCUAGAGAAGGUCCUCUUUAGGAUUAUGAGAUCCUUGUGUCGAUGUUAGAAAUCGCUUUUGGCAAGGAUACAACCAACCCUCCUGGUGGUGCAGUCGUGGACCCAAAUUCCUAGGAGAGUUCGGGAUUUUCAGCUGCGGGUUCGAAUGCCUAGAGGACCUGUAGAUUUUAUGCUUUUAUAGACUUUUGUUUAUAAACUAGUAUUGUAAAUAAACUAGUCGACUGUGUAUAAAGGUGUGUUAUAGUUGUGAAAUCAUGGUCCUGCUUUUCUAUCCCAUCUUUGUGCUAUUUGGGGAUUUAUUUAUACACUUCCACACGCACAUUAAAAUGAAUGGGUCAGCGACGCGUCUUGGGACGUUGCAAUUUAAUCGACCACCGAGGGAUGGGCACACACUCGAGGAUCUAGGCGUGACAAAACUCACCGGUUUAGCGAUCCGGUGAGUCCACAACGAUGGCGACGCAGAGGCGGGCAACAAACAACCCUGCGGCAACACCAACCAAGGCCCGGAAGAGACCUAAAACCGGCCUUGAAGCAUCACAGCCCUUGCUAGCCUUCAGCUUUUGCUUUGGGCCAAGCAAGUUGAUACCAGCGGCUGAAACGGCAAGGCGGGCGGACGGGCGGCUGCAAUGGGCUAGGUGGAGGCAAACAGCAACUGGACAAUGACGGCGGGGCUUCGAUGGCAACCAGGGACGACUAUUGGAUGGCGAGGCGAUGCGAAUGCUAGUGGUUAGGCACGAUAGAGGCAUGAGCGAGCGAGACGUCAUGCGACAGGUUGGCAGACGUGAGCGGCGGGUGCGGUGGCUUGGGAGGCUAGUCAACGAAAAGGGGAGAGCUACUCUGCUUUCCUCUGGUUUUUGGAGCCCAAAAUGGACAACAAUGGUUAAAGGUGGCCCUAAGCUUGAAGAAGAAGCUGCUGAAGACUUGGAGGGUCCCCCUUGGCCACAAAUAUCCUCUUCUUGAUCAUUGGUUGCCCCCAUCAGCUUUGCCCUAUCCACAGCCAACUUUGCAGCAUCAAAACAUCCCCUAGAAGCUUCCUUUGAUGCCUCAAAUGUUGCACACCCCUUGGCCUAUGGAUUUUGUACACUUUCCAUCCAAAUUGAAUCAAUUCCCCUCUAAUUGAACUCAAUUUGACGUCUAUAAAUCCAACCAAGGUGUCCUUGUCAAAUACAACAUUUUUCCUCACCAACUGAACAAACUUGAAUCUCAAAAACGCGACAAAAAAUGGUCCUCUAAUUUUCCCAGACAAAAAAUGGUCAUACUUUGAAAUUUUGCCAAAAAUCCCGGUUUACCGAAAAGUCAUUAGAGGAUGAGUCGAUGUUUCUAAAAUAACGCGUGACAUGUUAGAACUUUCAAUUUCACAGUUAAUUUUAAUCUAGCGCAAUUUUAGCGUGACCUAAUCUACUGGGUAGCUUUUAGGAAUUUUUAGCGCACUUGACCCAUGGUUGAUUAUUUUCAAGUCACAAUGUACAUUUUCGACACAUUGGCAACUCUCGGUUGUCGUGAUAAUUUCAAGAUUUCAAAUGCCAACAUAGAGUACAAGUUUAACAGAAAUUUUGCAAUUAGGUAGAAUCACCCACGCACUAAUCAUAUAUCUCUGUUGAAUCAACCUUUCUCCAGUCUCUGAUCAAUUUUGAUAGUAUCGUAAUAACCCUUGCAGAUUAGCACGGUCGAGCAGUCGAUUCCUCGUUGAAUUCUCAAGUCUAUUACGUUAAAAUUCCUUAACAGUUUCACCUGAUAAAUUAAUUUUCCCGUGAGUAAUCAAUUCAGGGAAAAGAACUAUAGGCACGUCGAUGAAUAUCCCAACUCAUUUAAUCAAAGACAGAACCUGAAAUUCAGGAUGUCACAUAUUUUGUCGACAUAACAAUCAAUUUUCUAGGUCAAAUUCAGACAACUUUUGGUAUGUCAAGUUGUUGUUUCAAAACAAUUUACGCCAUCAGCCAAAUUCAACAAAAUCGAUAGAUAAGUACUUUACGUGUGCUCAUUCUCCACCGUGAAUUUCUUCCGUCUUUCGUGGUCACUUUUGUAUGUGCUCAUUUUCCGAGUGAGGGAUGCUGGGUGUGGGGAAAUCAAUUAUGCCCUUUCGGAACCAAAAUAAAAUGACGAUUCAUCUCGAUGCACGCCAAUAAGCAACAACAGUUGUAGCACAAGACCGAGCAACUUCUCUAGGAAAAACCACACCUCUGCCUUGAAAGAACCCUUUGAGAUGGCUGAAAAGAGCAAAGUGCUGGUGAUGGAAGGCAUUGGAUACAUUGGAAAGCUCAUUGUGGAGGUGAGUGCUGAGUCCGGUCACCCUACCUUCACUCUUGUGAGGGAGUCCGCUCUCUCCGAUCCUGCUAAGGUUGGCAUCGUAGAAGGUUUCAAGAGCUUGGGUGUCAAUAUAUUCUAGGUGAGUAAUUAUUCACGUGCGGUUGUGUUCCUUCGCCAUUCUGAGAAAUGUUUUUAUCAAUAGGAUCGAAGUUGAUUUUUAUAUUUAUCUCUCACUUGAUGAGUUGAUGGAGUCACAUUACGAUAUGGCGUUGCUCUUUCUCUUCUUUGAUAUUUUGUCUGUGUGCAUGGUUGGAAUCAGAAAUCAUGUCCCUCUUCUUUUUAAAAUGCUUGAUGAGAUCUCAACUUUGGAUGAUGAUAUGAACGUGCACAUUUUCAGAUAAAAUCUUGUGGAAACUUUGGUAUGCUUUGGCUAUUUAUGAGGCAGCUAUAGCUAUGUGGCUGCACUUUGCUGCAUAGACAAAUCUUGUGGAUGAUUGCCAACUUCAUUGAUCGUUUGUCCAUGCUAUUUGUUAUUUGAUUCUCAGGGAGACAUAUACAGUCAAGAGAAUCUGUUGAUUGCAAUUAAGCACGUUGAUGUGGUAAUCUUUGUUGUGGGAUGAGCACAAGUGAAGGACCAAGACAGGAUUGUAGCUGCCAUUACAGCAGCUGGGAAUAUCAAGGUGGUGCCAUGCCUAGUCAUUUCAUUUCAAGUUACUAUUGUUGGUUUAGCAUUUUGUUGACACCUAAAUUUUGACAUCCUCGUCAUCUAUUUAUUGCAUAGAAUAAUUAGGAUUAAUUUUUAACACCUAAAAAAAAUCAAGUUGUGUAGCAUAGAGUUUUAAGAGCAUUGUUAUUAUUGCAUUUGUAUUAGACUGGUAACGAAUGGGGGUUUGAACCAAUAGUUCCGAACUUUAAUUUAACAAAUUGGACUAAGCCCAUGAAGAAAGGGAAUUGGCCGAAGCCCGUUAUUCUCUGAUGACCAAUGUUGACACCUAAUUUUUAUUUUUAUUUUCAAGCACACAAAAAAAAAAAACAAACAAAACCAAAAAAAAAAACAAACAAACAAAAGUUGAUACAAAAAAAAAGAAGAAGGGCCGCGGGGGUCGGGUCGGGCCGAUCCAGCCUCGGCUCGACCUAUCCCUUUUCCUUUUCUUUCCCCCCACGUGGGCCUUGGGCCCAACUCCUCCCUUUUUCCUUUUUCUUUUUCCUUUUUGCACGGCGCGGCCCGUGCUCAUUUGUCUUCUCCUCUAGCCGUUUCUCGCGCGGGGAAGCAGUGAAGGAGAAAGCAAUCGCCAGAGCAAAAGGGAGGGCGUGCAGGGGACAUCAAAUCCACGUGGGGGGCAACGCGAUCCGUAGGCGAGCAAGCCAGCAAAGAGCGGGGUUGGUCAAGCGAAGCCACGCAAGCAAGUUGGGUGGAAAGGAGAAAAGAAAAGGGCAGAACAGGGGGGAGAAAAGGAAAAUCAAAGAAAAAAGGGGAAAAAACAGGGAAACACCGAGUGGAGGAGAGGAGUAAGAGAGACCCCGGAGCCAUUGAUCACUACCAUUGGUCACCGCCAGAGUUGCCAACCGCCUCCGACUCUGCUGGAGUCUAGGAAGCAGAACAGAGGUGCGAAGCAGAGGGCGACAGGAGGGAGAGAGAGGAGAGAGUGGGAAAGCCGUGGGAGAUCAGCCAAGAAGUAGGGAGCCCCCAGGACGCCUCGCCACUACUGGAGAGCCGCCUGUUCGUCGCCGUCCACUACCAUAUUUCGCGGAAUCCAGGUUGGCCUUUUAUCGAACACUUGACGUGCGAUUUUUUAUAUUGAGUUGGCCGGAGCUCGUUUCGCCUGUUUCAAGCGAGCUCCAGCCCCUUUGUCUGUCCCUGUUAUUUUCCUUAAAUGUCGGUAGGUCUCCUUAGGUCUUCAGGUCCGCGCUCAUGCUUCGGCCGAGCUGGAGGCUCUUGGUCUCGUCCAUGCACUCCACCUGCUCGCCAAAAUACCCAAUCGGGAGUUGUUUUUUGUUUCCUUUAGUUGGAGAUCUAGCUCGACCAUUAGGCUGCUGGAAGGGAUGCUAUUGUCUAGCCGGAGGACGAGCAUCGUCCCCUGCCCUAGCCGGCACCGCCGUGCCCAGGCCGGAGAACCGCCCGAGCACGACGACAUCUCCCCCUGGUCGCAACUGGAAGUCGACCGACCAAAGGGAGGUCAACCAAGCGGGCUAGAUCUUGGCCCGCUCAGCCCUUCUCGCCCCGUAGGCCGAUGGCCUAGACUUGGUCUAGGUCGUGGGCCUGCUAGGAGCUCCUUUUGCGAAAGGGGUUGGGCCCAUUCGACGGGCCCAACUUGCACUUAAUUGCAAGCCCGACCAUUGGUCGGGCUUGUUCUUUUCCAAGUGGGCCAACGGCCCUAUGGUCAGGCUUGCUCUUUUCCAAGCGGGCCAACGGCCCGCCCCUCCCCAAUAGGACCGAACCCGAGUCCGGUCUCCAACGGGACUUGAACUGCACCGACCGACCCGAACUAGGGUCGGGUCAGACUGGACCCAACCCGGUUCACCCAAAAAAAAAAUUAAAAUAUUUAAAUAUUUAAAAAAAUUAUUUUAAAAAAAUUAAAAAAUUUAGAAAAAAUUCGAAAAUCAUAAAAAAGUAGGAUUUGGUUAGGAAAUGCCAUAUAUUGCCUUCUUAACCUAACUAGGCCUUUAUUUGCUCAUAUUUUGAUUAUAUCGCAUGUUUAGUUUGCAUAUUUUGUUUAUUAAUUGCACGUACUUAAUUUUAUGGCAAUUCGGAUCUUGGUAGCUAUGGUUGUUAUUUUAAUGAUUGUGCACCUGCAUGAUCACCUCAUAUGUUAGUGGAUAUGUAUAAAAUCAACCCAAACUGCCUGACAACAAAUAUCUUCUUUUAAAAUGAACAAGAUUAGGUACCGAAAGGGCACUAAUUGGUCAAUUAGUGUAAUCAAGUCCCCGACCCUAAAUUCUCUGGUUGUGUAGGAAGUGUGGCACACUCCCAUACCUCACUUGGUUUCUAGCCGACCCCAAUAAACUAGUGGUGAUUCAUUUUUGUGAAAAUCUUUAAAAAUAUCCCAAUGUCAAUCGAUGUAUGGGCUUGGGAGAGCUCGUGCCUAAUCAUGGAACUUAAGUCCGUCCUUUAUGCAAUACCCCUAAACCUGUUCUCUCCCCCCGAGGGGUAGGUCGCGACAACCAAAAAUUGGCUUAUGAUGAAUGGUGAUUUGAUAUUUUCGGUGAUAUGGAGUUGGAUUUUUUGUAUAUUCAUGCAAUCCAUUCAUAUAUCCUUAGUAAGGGUAAACGUGGGAAGGAAAUAUUGUGAUCACAUCUUUGCAAGGUUCAAAAUCUAGGAAAACUCUAUUAUGAUCUUGAAUUUUUGGCAAUGCUUGAUCAAUAAGUGGGCUAGUAUUUGGGUUAAAGAAAUAAAAUUAGUGGAGAAUAUUCAUCUUGCAUGGUCCAAUGUGGAAAGAUACGAUCAUAUGCACAAAGGAAAUUCGGAACAUAAAAGAUUAGCACCAGAAGGGAAUGUCGGGCUCGUUCUUCAUUGAAAGCGCAAGGAUUUGCAAAGAAAAGAUAUAUGCCUACAGAGAAGGCAUUCAAUCAAUGAGGAAGAGGAAAGGAAAUAGAAUAUAUUUUAAAGCAUGAACAGAAGGAAGCAAACUAUGCUUUAUUUCCUUGAUGGUUUACACCCUUUCACUAUAAAUGGACUCAUUACAGGACAGAGAGGGGGGCCACACAAUUGAGAAUACAGAGAGAGAGAGAGAGAGAGAGAGAGAGAGAGAGAGAGAGAGAGAGAGACCUCCUGCCACACCUACUUGAUGAAUGAUCUCGUGUCUUUGUGGGAGAGAAAGAUUGGCAAGACCCUAGAGAAUGUUUAUAUUCCAGAGGAGCAAAUUCUGAAGAAAAUUUGAGGUCACAGAUGCAUUAAUAUUAGAUUUCAGCAUGUGGAAAUUGUCUAUAUUCUCUAUCAUAUUCAAACCUUUUGAUGUCCAUCGAUCUACUUGUCCACUCAUAUUAUAGAUGUGAAAUCUCCAGAUGAUCUGAUGUGGGCCAUAUACCAUUCUAUUUUUGUGAAAGGAGACCAAACUAACUUUCAAAUUGAGCCGUCAUUCGGAGUGGAAGCUUUGGAACUCUACCCCAAUGUCAAAUUCAGUACCAUGGAUAAGUACCUUGAUUAGUUUGUUUGAUUGUCGAAACUUACUGUGCUUGAGGAUUUGAUUUCUCACAUCAGCUUGGAAUCAGAAAUGGUAAUAGAAUUCUGCUUCUUACGAACCUAGUGUGAAACGUCGCUCCCAUUGAUCAUCUCAUGGCAUUGUACAACCUCCAGCUAUUAAGACCUACUAUGGGUGCGUUUGGGACUUACUUUGCAAAUGGGCUUUGGCCACUUAAAGGCCUUUUGGCCAAAUAUUAAGUGUUUGGGAAAGGUUUUACAAACCCCAUUUGGGGAAGGCUGGCUUUCUAAAGGCUGGAAGCCCAAGGCUAGUCUGGGGGUGCCUUGAGCUUUCAAGCUUCAGGAAAGGCUUACGAGACACUAUUCAUCAAAUUUGCGAAACACUAUGCAUCUUCUUCAUUGAGGUGGACAUUCAGGUUGAGCAGGGUCAUGAAUGGCCGAUGACGAAGUAGAGAGAGGCUGGUGACGAUCACAACCACCCAAGUGACGGUCGUCGGUGGGUCGGGUGAUUUGGUCACGCGACUCUUGCUGAGACCCUUGCCUGAGGUCAUUGGGGUCGCGCGACCCCCGGCACAGUGGCCCUCGCCAAAGGUCUCGCUUGGGUCUCGCGACCCCCGGUGAGAUCGUCGCCUAAGGUCGCGCACCAAGCAGCCCUUGGGCCACACAACCUCAAGCAAGGGUCUCGCCGGAGGUCACGAGACCCAAGCAAGACCUUUGGCAAGGGCGGUUGCGCCGGGGGUUGCGGAACCCCAACCGAGACAUUGCCGAGGUCGUCGGCACAGGCGAGCUCGCCAAGGCCGCACGACCUCAAGCAAGGGUCUCGCCUAUGGGUGGCGACCUCGACGAGGGUCUCGGCCGGCAUUGCGCGACCCUUGCCAGGGGUCGCUCGACCGCAGGUGACCCUCACCAAGGCCACGCGAUCUCAGGCGAGGGUCUCGCCUGGGUCACCGGCAAUCGCCCGACCCCAGGCGGCCCUCGCCGAUGGUCUCUGAGGGCCGCCUAAGGUCCGACAACCUCAAACGAUGGCCGCCGUGGCACUUAAAGUCCUUUACAUUUUCCCAAGGAAUUUUCGCAAAAAUCUAAUCAAACACACCCUAUGAAUACUGAGUGUGUGCUCAUCUGUGCUGUGUGCUUGGAGAAGUCACUUAUGUUUUGGAGUUGUUUUGGGUUUAACGACUAGCUAAUGAAUAAAAAAAGGAAAAGGGUUUAUGGUGUCAUGCCAAAAGCCUUUUGGGUAAAACCUAAUUGACUUCUCAACCCUAGAAGACUUAAUUAGACAAAUUGAAAGUACAAGGAAUUAAUUAGAACAGGGGUGAAAAGUAUGAAUCUUCCUUUUUCAUUCACGUAGUAGAGCAUAGUUGAUACUCACUUUUCUGAAAUCAAGUACUUUGUCGGUACUUUGUCGGUCUUGGAAGAUCUCCUCAGAAUCUAAACUCGAGGUUUACAUAGUAGAUUUUUUUUAUAGAAGUCGGUAAGGAUGAUAUUUCUAUCACCAAUUGUUGAAGGGUAAGCUUAAAGAAUAGCAAGUUAAAACCCAUUGAUAAUACCUUGCGGUGUUGGAUUAUCCUUAAUAUUUCGAGGACUGUUAUGGGCAUGGAACAAGCAAGAAGAAAGAGAGGCAUGUGUCACGGUCUGUGAAUCCUCCCAUACUCAUGACACUUGUGAAUGGUGCUUGGGGUUAUCGAGUGAAGAGUGAGGAGGCAGAAGGGACGAACACAACUGGUUCGUGGGAGUGGCGUUAGGACGGUUGGUGCUGGGAGUUCUAGGAUAGAAAGAUUAUAUCACUUAGGAGCUCUGAAGGCAAGGAUAGCCUCCCGUGCACAAAUUGGUGGGGAGCUGAUGCCGCUCUCCUGACGAGGCCAUGGCAGGCCGAAACCAGUUAUUGAAGCUAAAGAGAUCUACUGUCUCACUUGAUGGACUAGAUACUCGAGCGAAGUUGAGCAUGGUAGGAUCUCGCACGAAGAAGCAUUCAUCGUAUAGUUCAUGGAACAGCUAAAGAAGAAAGGCUGGCCUGGUGAAUUCUGUUCGUCAGGCACCGCACGGGUCGUUCCGAGGCCAAGGAAACUCUCGGCCUGUGACAAGUGGUAUCAGAUCAAGAAUCCCUCUAGUAAGUUAGCAAGUCGGAGAAUUGAACUUCUCGCUUUAGUGCAGGUCGAACUGAUAAGUGCCCGGUCCGGUCCUAGUGAAUGAAGAGUGAAUGGAUGGGGCAAAAGAUGCUCAAACGAAGCUGGGCUCUCUAUUCCUAGGAUGGCAUUGGUACUAGGACAAGUCAAUUCCUUGCCAAGCUGAUAGGGAGUUGGAGAAGAACCGAACCCUUACUGAAUAGGGAUAACGUUCCUGGAUCGAUCGAUGAAUUCAAAGAAGAUGUCUACUGCCACGUUUUCAACAAGGAAAGAACCUCCAUUUGGUCUGCUUGGGUCAAAGAAGCUAUGUAGGCAAAAUGGUGCUGCCAAAAGAAAUGCCACACUCUCCAAAGAAAACGCAAGUGACCGAGAAAAGCCAAGUGGUUGAGAUCAAAAAAAGGCUAUCAAUGGAGCAAAACCUAUUUUGUUGGGCGAGCGUGACCAUUCGAUGUGAAAUCCCAAAAAGUGGCACAUCAAUGGUUAAGGGACACAAGGAAGCGACAGAGCAGAUUGCAACGAGGGCGUUGCAAAUUGAAUGGGGGAGAAUGUCACGGUUCGUGAAUCCUCCCGUACUCGUGACAUUUGUGAGUGGUGCUUGGGGUUAUCGAGUGAAGAGUGAGGAGGCAGAAGGGAAGAACACAACUGGUCCGUGGGAGUGGCGUCAGGACGGUUGAUGCUAGGAGUUCUAGGAUAGAAGGAUUAUAUCACUUAGGAGCUCUGAAGGCGGGGUUGGCCUCCCGUGCACAAACUGGUCAGGAGCUAAUGCCGCUCUCCUGACGAGACCAUGGCAGGUCGAAACUAGUUGUUGAACCUAAAGAGAUCUGUUAUCUCACUCGAUAGACUAAACACUUGAGCAAAGCUGGGCGUAAUAGGAUCUCGCACGAAGAAGCAUUCAUUGUAUUGUUCGUGGAACUGUUAAAGAAGAAAGGCUGGCUUGGCGAUUCCAUUCAUUAGGUGCCAAACGAGUCGUUUCGAGGCCAAGGAAACUCUUGGCCCAUGAUAAGUGGUAUCAGAGCAAGAAUCCCUCCAGUAAGUGAGCAAGUCGGAGAAUCGAACUUCUCGCUUUAGUGCGGGUCGAACUGAUAAGUGCCCGGUCCGAUCCUAGUGAACGGAGAGUGAAUGGCCGAGGCAAAAGAUACUCAAACGAAGCUGAGCUCUCUGUUCCUAGGAUGGCAUUGGUACUGGGACAAGUCGGUUCCUUGCCGAGCUGAUAGGGAGUUGGAGAAGAACUGAACCCUUACUGAAUAGGGAUAACGUUCCUAGAUCGAUUGGUGAAUUCGAAGAAGAGGUCUACUGCCACGUUUUUAACAAGGAAAGAACCUCUAUUUGGUCUACUGGGGUCAAAGAAGUUGUGUAGGCAAAAUGGUGCUGCCAAAAAGAUGCAAUUAACGAACAAUGUCAAACUUGCCAAAGAAAGCGCAGGUGACCGAGAAGAGCCGAGCGGCUAAAAUCAAAAAGAUGCUACCGAUGGAGCAAAACCUGUUUUGUUGAGCGAGCGUGACCAUUCGAUGUAAAAUCUCAAAACGUGGCACAUCAAUGGUUAAGGGACGCAAGGAAGCGACAGAGCAGAUCGCAACGAGGGCGUUGCGAAUUGAGUGGGGGAGAAUGUUACGGUCCGUGAAUCCUCCCGUACUCAUGACACUUGUGAGUGGUGCUUAGGGUUAUCGAGUGAAGAGUGAGGAGGCAGAAGAACGAACACAACUGGUUCGUGGGAGUGGCGUCAGGACGAUUGGUGCUAGGAGUUCUAGGAUAGAAUGAUUAUAUCACUUAGGAGCUCUGAAGGUGGGGUUGGCCUCUCAUGCACAAACUGGUCAGGAGCUGAUGCCACUCUCCUGAGGAGGCCAUGGCAGACCGAAACCAGUUGUUGAAUCUAAAGAGAUCUGCUGUCUCACUUAAUGGACUAGAUGCCCGAGCAAAGCUGAGCGUGGUAGGAUCUCACACGAAGAAGCAUUCACUGUAUUGUUCAUGGAACAGCUAAAGAAGAAAGGUCGGCCUAGCGAAUUUCGUUCAUCAGGCGUCGCACGGGUCGUUCCGAGGCCAAGGAAACUCUCAGCCCGUGACACAUGCAUGAUGAAUCUGGACACCUCACAAACCAAUUUCUUCACUAAUCAUGGUGGGCGCAGACUCGUGUCCUUUCCUAAUUAAGAAAGUCCAAUAAGGCGAUGUCUACGUAAUACUGUGUUUACUUUACAAAUUACGUAAAUUGCAAUUUCACAUUUCAUAUGAAUGAUCUAAGUAUAAAAUCUUUUCCAUUUAAUGAUAAAGAAACUAUCUUACUACGUGCUUAAUAUGUGUGUAUUGAACUCACUCUUUAGAACCGGAAUCAAUCUAAAAGUCUCGGUUUCCUUUUCUUAAGAACUUGUGAAUUUGAAAAUAUAGAAAUCUUAUGUUGCCCAAAAAAUCAAAAAGAGUAAUCUCUUGAUCAACCCCACUUUGGAAAGAAUCUAGUGCACCUCAAAACAAUCAUUUACCGAUAUGAAACGUUGUGAUAGCAUGCAUACCAUGCAAGCACAUGCACGUUGGAUAGCUCAUUGCCCUUUCAUAUUGUUUUCACUAGUCUUUUCAUAUGAUACAAAAAAAUAGUCUCAACUUUUAUUUACAUGAAAAAUCAUUAUAAGUUAUAAUAGUCUAAUAUUGAUUGAGAAACAAAAUCAUCAUACAAAAUAAAUUAGAAACUCUAAUCCUUCAAAAUUAAGAUUACUUAAAUCUUUAGCACCAUCCAAACUUAAGUGUAGAUUUUCUUAUUUUUAGUAAGUUUUUCACAAUAAUUUGAAUCAUCUCUCAAACUCGACAAAAUCUUUAUUGAAGUGCUUUAUAUUAGAUUUUAUUCUGUUUCUAUUAGUCCCCUUCGCACGUACAUCUUUUCCAGCUAAUGAUGAUAUCAAGAAGUUCACACAAACGACAUCUAUGCCUUUCUGAAAUAAAAAACAGAUGAACGAUUCAUCUCGGAUCCCGCCAACAUUUACGGCCCUAGACCGAGCAAGUUCGCAGGGAAAACCACACUGCUGGCAGAAAGAACGGGAAAAGUGUUAAAAAAAAAAGUCAAACAUUUUGCAUUUAUGCCAAUUUAAUUUUAAACAUUUUUUUGAUGCCAAUUAAAUCUUAAAUAUUUUUACGUUGUGCAAAUUUAGUAUUUUCCGGCCAAUUUCAGCCAGAUUUUACUAACUGAACAACGGCCGACUGACAUGAACAACUUUUAAUAAUAUUUUAAUAUUCUUUCUUUUCUUUUUUUCUUUUUUCCUUUUCCUCCUUCUUUUCUAGCCGGUCGCUGGCUCGAUGACCAGCUAGAGGCGACGGCCGACGAGGUCAACCUCGACCUCGCCGGCCACCUCGCUAGUGGCCGCAAGGGCGGCCUCAUGCUGAGCAGUGAGGCUCGCCCUUGCCAAAUCCGACAAGGGUCGAGCCCCACCCGCCCAGCGCAAGGCUGCCCUCGAGGCCUGGGCGACGAGCCUCACCUUCGUCAGAUCUGGCAAGGCUCACCCUCGUCGGAUCUAGCGAGGGUCGAGCCUCGCCCAUGGCUAGCAAGGACGAGCCCCGCCAACUCGACGCGAGGCUAGCUCGAGGCCACCCAGGCCAUGAGGGCGAGCCCUCACCGCCCAAGCCUUGAGAGUGGCCUCGCACUGGACAGGCGAGGCUCGCCCUCGCUGGAUCUGGCGAGGUCAAGUCUCGCUAGCCAUUGGCGAGGCUCAACCCUUGCUAGCGCAAGGCUUCCCUCGCGGCCGCCGGUGAGGUCGACCUCAACCUCGCCGGCCAUCGCCUCUGGCUGAUCGUCGAGGUCCGGCAACCGACUAAAGGACGAAGGAGGAGAAGGAAAAAUUAAAAAUUAAAAUAUUAUUAAAAUAUUAUUAAAAAUUGUCAACGUCAACGUUGAUUAGGCCACAUCAGCCGGCCGGCGUCUAAUCAGCAAAAUCUAGCCAAAAUUUACCGGAAAUGACUAAAUUGGUACAACGUAAAAAUGUUUAUGACUUAAUUGGCACCAAAAAAAAGUUUAGGACUUUUUUAACAUUUUUUUCCGAAAAGAAACUUAGGUGGCCACGAAGAACAAAGUCAUGAUGAUCGGAGGCAUUGCAUGCCUCGAAAGUACAUAGUUGAAGCGAGUGCUAAGUCCGGUCGCCUUACCUUUGCUCUCGUGAGGGAGCCUGGUCUCUCCGAUCCCACCAAGGUCAACAUCGCCCAAGGUUUCAAGAGCUUAGGCGUCAAAUUUUUCAUGUGUGUAUCGUGUUGUGAGGAGUCACUACGGUGCAAUUAUGUUCGUUUCCGACAUCAACUUGAACCAUAAGUUAUAUAGGAUUCUGAUUCUCCGCAUCCCGCUAAUCAUCUCAUGGCACGUGCAACUUUCAAUACGAGGACAUAGUAGGAACAUUUGAUGUGCGAGGCUUCUUUGCAACGCUUGGAGGAGUUACUUCUAUUUUGAAUUUGAUAUGAGUUUUUCUAUUUCUGUAUAGUAUACGUUUUAUGUCGUCGGUGUGGGUAUUGAAUUCGAGCCGCUGAUGAUGUACGAUAAUUCACCUAAUUUCCUGGUCUUAGACUAAAAUAUAAUUUUAUUUUAAGAGUCAUUUGUUUCGCAAAAAAUAAAUAAUUUGGAAGAAAAAAUAUCUCAAAAAUGAUUAUUUGUAUCGCUUAUAAAAUGAACGGACAAAAAAUAUUUCCAUCGUCUAUAAAAAUAUUUAGACAUAUUUUGUUGUUGAUAAUAACAACAUUUUUCAUCGACUAAUCAUUUAAAAUAUGCAAGUAAUCAUUUUUUAGAAAAAUGUUUUUUAAAUUAUUUAUUUUUUACGAAACAAAUACUUUAUAUAUCUAAAUACUUUAUUCAUUUUUCAUGUCUAAAUAGUCUGUAGGUAGUCAUUAUGGUGAAAUCAAAUACUUUAUAAAUCCUCGAAAAUCUGAAGGUAAUUGAAGCUCCGGGUUUCCUUAGCUGACGAAAUCUCCUUUCAUGAAUGAUAAACUUAAAAGAAUAACAAGUUUAAGGAUUCUUACUGCGGGGAACAAACAAGGCAAAGAAAAAAAGGCAAAUAUUCGAUUGAAUAUGGUACCAUAACAAUUAUCUACGUGAGGUCAAGUAAUAAUCUUGUUGAUCCAUUGAUGAAGGCUUUAUCAAGACAUAUGGUAAUAAUGACCUCACAAGAAAUAGGGCUGAAACCCUUUAAUUGAAAUCAUCAAUAAUGGUAAUCCGACAUUUUUUCUAAAACAUCACUAGUUACAAGGUUUAAUGGGUAAGAACAAGUUAUUAAAUGUGAUUAUUUGAUACUGACGUAACCCUAAAAAGUCAGUAUCGUCUAUUACGUUUUGUAGGUUAAAUUGAAUUCUUAAUGAAGUAUAAUACAAAUUUAUAAUGUGUUAAUAGUAAUAGAAACACAUGAUAGAUACUUCACCUAUAUGAGCUUAGAAGUGAUGCCGCUUCUUACGAAAGUGAGGGUUGCUUUCUAGAGAGCUCAUGAAACAGGAUCAAGCACAAGGCUAUAAUAGUGCAGAGUAAUAUAGAACUUCUUGCUAAAACAAGAGGUUAGUGUAUGUACAGUAUGUCCGAUUCUAUUACAUAAAAGUACAAAUUUAAAGCCGAGCUAUUUGUCACUUUGAUAGAGCUUUGAUAUACUUGCACUAAGUAAAAGUUUAAUUCGAAAGAGACCUUUAUAUAUGUAUAUUAUUCUUACUGAAAUUUUGGUUGUACGGUUUUAAAAUUUUAAUUUUGAAAUCUUUGUUUUACAAACAAAAUGGGGGAUUGUUGGAGGUUUGUUUGUAAAAAUAAACUAAGUGCAUUUUCCUUGUCUCACCUAGGAAAAGUGGGAAGAAGUGGGCCAAUUAAUAAGUGUGGGGUUUCCUUUGUGUACCUAAAGGAAUGAUUAGGUGGGGCUAGACCCCACCAUAUCCGUGUGCGAGUGCGCAAUUUAUUUGGCGCACUUUGCGCGCCCGCGGUUUAAUUAACACUAACCCCUUUGUUAUUUUAUUUUUUCUUUCAUACGGUUAUCUUAUUAACUUUAAUCAAUUCAAAUGUUGCUUUUUAGUUUUGAGAAUUUUCGAAAAUUAUUAAAAAAUAAAAAUUCGAAAUUGUAUUUAUUUUAAAAAAAUUAUUAUUUCGAAUUUUUAUUUGUGUCUUUUCAAGAUAACCUUUGAAAAAGAUAUUUGUUCAAUUUGCAACUUUUCCCGAAGGGUUGCAAUUGUUCAUUUUUUAACUUCUUCCAAAUGGACACCUUUGUUUAUCUAGACAAUUUUUGAAAUGCCUUGUUUGUUCAUUUUUUUUGCAAUUUUUCACGAAGAGUUGCAUGUGUUUUAAGAGUGUUUUAUAUAUAUAUACAUGUCAGUUUUCGGAAAAAUGAAAGUGAUCAUUGUUUAUCUUUUCGAGCAUUCUUUCUGAAAACUACAGCCAUCAUUUUAAUUAUUUCCUGGAGAGGCCAUGGAGAAAUACUAGAAUUGUUAUCUAAUAUUCUUAUUUUGAGACUUUGUUGUAUCUUGAAUGAUAUUUGCCGGUAACUAUUAGCAAUGUUAUGGGGCAAAUAACUCCUUAAAGAAAAUGAUAUUACAUCUCAAAGUCCGACUUGAGUAUUCUAAAGAUCCAUCUUCAUUGUUUUACCCAAUUCGAAGCCAUAUUUUCCCAACAUGAACAACUCUCGAACCAGACUUGCAGAUGCUGGUCUGACUCGAUGAAUCCUUCCGUAAUUUGCUUACUGCCUACCAUCCGCGUGGACUCUUGUGUCCUUUUCUUUUCAAGAAAUCUACGGUGUGGUGGCUUUUAGUGUGGAUAUCUUCCUUUUUGUGAAUGAUUUUUCGUAAAUUCAUCCAUUUACGGUAGCUAAGCAUGUGAAAUUAUGAAAAGCAAAUUUCAGGAAACCCUUUUUAGCAAAACAAGCACUCAAAGGUCACCAAAAAAAAAAAAACAAGCACUCAAAUGAUAUGCAUUUUCAAUUUCGAAUUGGUGAUCUAAACAUUGAAUCUUUUGCAUUUAAUGAUAAAGAGUAUCAUUUAUAUAUGUCUAAUUUACUAGCAUCAUGCUCCCUAUUCAAUCAAUGAGCCAAUCUAACAAGGUUAGUCUCCUUCAAGAAGUUAUGAAUUGUUUACAAGAUAAUGUUUUGUUGGCCAAAAAGUUAAAAAAUUAAUUAAUAUGGUUGAACCUAGAGGAAAAAAGAAAUGGCACCUCAAAACAAUCAUAGAGCGACUAUGAAGCUCCGUGAUAUCAUGUAUAUAUGUGCAUCUGCAUGUCCAAUAGCUCAUUGUCCUCUCAUACCAUUUUAUCUUAUUAUUUCAUAUGAUAAAGUAAACCUAAAAAAUGGUUUCAACUUCCUUUUUAUCAAUGACAUAAAAAAUCAUGGUAAAUUAUAAUAGUACAAUAUCAAUUGAGAAAACAAAAUAUAGUUUCAAUUAAACAGUAUUUCUAACACUUCAAAAUUAGGAUUACUUAAAUUUCUAACACCAUCCAAACUUAAAUUUGGAAUUUCUUAAUCUAGGCAAGUUAAGUUUUUCUCAUUUCACAAAAAAAUGAAUCAUCUCUCAAAUUAGACAACAUCAUUAUUAGAAUACUUUAUAUUUUAUUUUCCUCCAUUUCUUUUUUCAGGACUAAUACCAUAAAAAUAAAAAAUAAAAAUAAAAACUCAAACUAGUACGUCCAUAUUAUAUUUACCAAAAAUUAAUUUUUAUAUCACAAAAAAAUUUAUAUUGUUUUAUUCAUGUCACAUUUGUCCAAAAUUUGCAGUAAUUUUUUACAUUGAAAAUUAGUUCGGGAUGACAUUUGUAUUCAGCCGGAGAAUAUUUUAGGUAAAAAAGUUAAUUUAGGAUAAAUGUGACGGAGAAUUAAUUUCAUGCACUUUUUUCUGGUGAAGGAUCAGAUUGAGAAGUCAAUACGCUGGAAGGACAAUUCAUUGAAAAGACAAUUACGCCCUUCUGGAACCAAAAGAUAAUUUUAAAUUGGCUCCGUGUAGAAGAGCCCCCGGCAUUUUUGCGCGCUCUCUCCCUUUCUCGCAGACACAGUUGGAGCACUACGGAGACCGACCGAGCUCGCCGGAGAAAAUCCACCGACUCCGCCGUGAAAAACCCCUCCGAGAUGGCGGAGAAGAGCAAAGUCCUGGUGAUCGGAGUCACCGGACUCAUCGGAAAGUUCGUCGUGGAAGCGAGUGCUAAGUCCGGCCACCCUACCUUCGCUUUCGUGGAACCGCUGUCCACUCCGUCCGACGCUGCCAAGACCAACUUCGUCCAAGGUUUCAGGAGAUUAGGCGUCUACGUAGUUCUGGUGAGUAGCUAGCUAUGCCCGUGCGAUCGCGUUCGUUUCCGACAUCGGGUUCCGCUUCGAGGAACCGAAAGCGUCACCUGCCGUUGAAUCUUGUUCGUCGUUCCGAGAAACGUCUUCGGCAGUAGAAUCGGAGCUGACUUUCGUCUCCAUCUCUCACUCGAUCGAGCUGAUUGGAAUCACGUUGCGAUUCGGCGUUGUUCAUUGUCUUUUCUGAUAUUUUGUCCUCGUAUGUUGGCGAAAUAGGCGAAAUUUUUUAUGACGUCCUUCUCACUUUCUCACUGCCUGACGAUUCAUCUCAGCUUCGCGUGUUGAUUCGAACGCGCGCAUUUUCAGACAAAUCUUACAGAAACUUCCUUAUGCCUUCGCUGUUUAUGAGACAGCUACAGCUACGUAGUAACUGCACUGACCUGUUGUUCAGAUGCCACGGAGGAGAAGUCUGUGGAUAGUAGCAUUUUUUUUUUUUAUCAUAUUUUUCUUUAUUGCCUGAUAAAGGUAUUGAAGUCUUAUCUUACAUCGGUUAUGAAUCCCAUCGCCAAAACAGGAGUUGUUGAUUGCUGACUUCAUCAAUUGUUUAUUCAUGCUCUUGGUCAUUUGAUUCUCAGGGAGACAUAAACGUUCCACAUACUCUGGUGAAUGUGAUGAGGCAGGUUGAUGUGGUAAUCUCUACUGUUGAGACAUCACCGGAUGACCAAUACAAGAUUGCUGCUGCCAUUUUGACGGCCGGAAAUAUAAAGGUGGUGCUGUGACUAAUCAUUUUGUCCUCGUUAUCAUUGUUCGUUUAGCAUUCGACUGAUGAUAUAAGUUGUGUUAGCUUACUUCUUUUCUUCUGGUAUUAGUGCAUAGCGUUCUCCUUGUGAGCUUCAUUUGAUCAAAUGGGAUGCAUUGACUCAUUUAUCUGUAGACUUCACAUCUUUUUUCAUCUUAAUUGGUCAUGACUCUGUGUAGAAGUCCCUGUGGGUUUGGGUUUCCUCUAGGUCAGCCAAAAAAACAAAAAUAAAUAACAUAAAAGGUCUCAGUCACUCAAUAUGGACUAUGGACUUGUAUCCCAGCGCUUCGAUCAUGAAUUCGCGAGGAACAUGAACUAGUUUAACCUUGAAAUGGUCCUUUUCAGGGUAUAAUUGUUGCAUGUAUGUUAUCCAACCCCACUUACUGGGAUAGUACUUAGUAGUAAUCGUUGUUGCUGCGGGUGGUUGACAGCCAACAAUGAGUGGAACUCAGCAUGCUCCGAAAAGGCAAUGGACUUGCCUGAUAUUUUAUCACUGUGAAAGUGUCCAUUCAAGCAAGCAGCAUGUUUGCAUAUUUUAUACUUGACAGAGUUAUCUGGCUGCUGCCUAACAUUAAAAUAUUCACUUUCCAUUUCUUCUACUUUUCUAAUAACACUUAUGGUAGAAUUUGCUUAUUUGCUGAAUUUAUUGCUUCACUUAUGAUCAGUUUUUACUCUGUUAUAGUAACAUACUGACCAAAAAAAAAAAUGUUAAAUUCAGUCACGUACAAGUUUGUUCUGUUUUAUUUUGCCAGAACUCAUAUAAUUUUAUUGGAUAAGGGGAAUGUGCUCCAAAUUUUCGUUCCUUUCCAAUGGAAAUGUUUCUUCUGAUUGGAUUAUUUUUCUUUCUAGAGAUUCUUGCCUUCAGUGUUUGGAAGUGAUGUGGAUCGUGCCCAUGCUGUGGAGCCAGCAAGAACUUUUUAUGCUGCUUACUAUACCGACAUCCACCGCCUUCUCGAGGAAGAGGGAAUCCCGUAUACCUAUGUGUGUUGUAACUUUCUUGUAGGUUGGCACCGUUCAACAUUGGUGCAGCCCAGGGCUAGAGCUGCCUCUAGAGAGAGAAUUGUCAUCUUAGGGGAUGGUAAUGCGAAAGGUAAGAAGCAUGAAAUACCUAUUAUGAUUCGUCAGGAUUUUUCUGUACAACUUUUGCGAUUUAAUUACGAGGGUAAUCAGAGUGAGGACAAUUCCUGAAGCUUGAGAAUGCCAGGCAACUCCUCUAGCUGGAGAUGUCGGGCCUUUUACAUCCGUUAUUCUCGACUUCCGGAGACCAAUAAAUGAUAUGAAAGUGAUGUUGGUUAUCUUGGCACAAUACCGCCUGGUCAGCAUAUUAAGAAGGUUUUCUUAUGUAUCUAGUUGAGAAAAGAACUUAUGAAUGCAUUCGUCCAUGAUGAAUCUUUUUAUUGAGAGAGUUCUUUAAAUAAGAACCAAAAGAUCAAAGUUUUUGUGAUAUAUUUAUUAGCCAAAUUCUAAAAUUCUCCUGUCAAUGUACAGUGGUGUUUAACAGGGAGGAUGAUAUCGGCACCUAUACCAUCAAAGCCAUGGAUGAUCCUAGGACCUUGAACAAAAUUCUGUACAUCAGACCUCCUGGCAACACUUACUCAAUGAAUGAUCUCGUGUCUUUGUGGGAGAGAAAGACCGGCAAGACCCUGGAGAGGGUUUAUGUUCCAGAGGAGCAAGUUCUGAAGAAAAUUCGAGGUCACAAAUGCGUUACUAUUAGAUUUGAGCACGUAGAAAUUGUCUCUAUUCUCUAUGAGAUUUAAACCUUUUGACAACGAUUGGUCUACUUGUCCGCCCAUAUUGCAGAUGUGAAAUCUCCAGACGAUCUGGUGUGGGCCAUAUCCCAUUCUAUUUUCGUGAAAGGAGACCAAACUAACUUCCAGAUUGAGCCGCCGUACGGAGUGGAAGCUUCAGAGCUCUACCCUAAUGUUAAAUAUAGCACCGUGGAUGAGUACCUUAAUCAGUUUGUCUGAUUGUCGAAGCUUACUGUGCUUGGGGAUUUGAUUUCUCACAUCAGCUUGGAUACACAAAUGGUAAUAGUAUAUUGCUUCUCACAAACCUAGUGGGAAACGUCGCUCCCAUUGAUCAUCUCAUGGCACUGUACAACCUCCAGAUAAUAAGACUUACUGUGCUUGGGGAUUUGAUUUCUCACAUCAGCUUGGAUACACAAAUGGUAAUAGUAUAUUGCUUCUCACGAACCUAGUGGGAAACGUCGCUCCCAUUGAUCAUCUCAUGGCACUGUACAACCUCCAGAUAAUAAGACAUACUAUGAAUACUGAAUAAGUGCUCAUCUGUGCUGUAUGCUUGGAGAAGUUACUUCUGUUUUGGAGGUGUUAUGUGUUCAGGGGCUAGCUAACAAAUAAAAAAAGGACGAGGGUUUAUGGUGUCGUGCCAAAAGCCUAUCCCGAGUUUGGGUAAAACCUAAUUGACUUAAUUAGACAAAUUGAAAGUACACGGACUUAAUUGGAGAAUCGGAAAAAGUAGAGGGGUGAAAAGUAUAAAUCUUCCGCUUUUAUUCUCGUAGUGGAGCAUUGUCGAUGCACGAUUUUGAAGUCAAAUAAUUUACAUGUCCUCGAAGAUCUCCUCGGAAUCUAAACUCGAGGUUUAACUCGAGGUUUACUUAGCAGAUUAUAUAUAUAUAGAAGUCAGCAAGGAUGAUGUUUUACCGACCAAAAAAAGCAAGGAUGAUGUUUUUGUUGCCACUUGGUGAAGGGUAAGCUUAAAGAAUAGCAAAUUAAAAUCCAUUGAUGAAUACCUCGCGGUGUUGGAUUAUCCUUAAUGAUUUGAGGACUGUCAUGGGCAUGGAACAAGCAAGAAAAAAGAGAGGCAUGUGUCACGGUCCGUGAAUACUCUCAUACUUGUAACACUUGUGAGUGGUACUUGGAGUUAUCGAGUGAAGAGUGAGGAACACUUGUGAGUGGUGCUUGGAGUUAUCGAGUAAAGAGUGAGAAGGCAGAGGGGACGAACACAACUGGUCCGUGGGAAUGGCGUCAAGACGAUUGGUGAUAGGAGUUCUAAGAUUGAAUAAUUAUAUCACUUAGGAGCUCUAAAAGCGAGAUUUGCCUCUCAUGCACAAACUGGUUGGGAGCUGAUGCCCCUCUCCUGACAAAAUCAUGAUAGGCCGAAAUCAAUUGUUGAGCCUAAAGAGAUCUGCUAUUUCACUCAAUGGACUAGACGUCCGAGCAAAACUAGGCAUGGUACUAUCUCAUACAAAGAAGCUAUUCACCAUAUUGUUCGCUAGAACAACUAUAAAAGGAAGGCUGGCUUGGCGAAUUCCGCUUACCAAGCGCUGCACAAGUCGUUCCGCGGCCAAGGGAACUAUCGAUUAGUGACACAUGGUAUCAGAGCAGGAAUCCCUCUAGUAAGUAAGUGAGUCGGAGAAUUGGACUCCACGCUCUAGUGUGAGUUGAACUGAGAAGUACUAGCUAUCUACCCGGUCCUACAAGGCAGAGAGUGAAUCACCGAGGCAAAAGGUACUCGAACAAAGUGCAACUCUCUAAAGCCCCUAGGAUGACAAUGGGGGCACUAGGAAGAGUCAGUUCCUCGCCAAGCGGAUAAUGGGUCUGAGAAGAACCAAAUCCUCGCUAAUAGGGAUAACAUUCCUAGAUCGAUCAGUGAAUUCAAAGAAAAGGUCUACUACCACGUUUUCAACAAGAAAAGAAUCUCCAUUCGAUUUGUUGGGGUCAAGAUACUUAGUAGGCAAAAAUGGUGCCACCAAAGAUGCAAUCGGCAAAAAAUGCCACACUUGCCAAAGAAAGUGCAAGUGACCGAGAUGGGCCCAAACAACUGAGAUAAAAAAAGGCUACCAAUGGAGCAAAACCUAUUUUGUUGGGCAAGCGUGACCAUUAGAUGUGAAAUCCCAAAAGUGGCGCAUCAAUGGUUAAGAUACGCGAGGAAGCGACAAAAUAGAUCGCAAUGAGGGCGCUGCGAAAUUGAGUGGGAGAGAAUGUCAUGGUCCAUGAAUUCUCUCGUACUCAUGACACUUGUGAGUGAUGCUUAGAUUAUUGAGUGAAAAGUGAGGAGGCUGAGGGGAUGAACACAACUGGUCCGUGGGAGUGAUGUCAGGACGGUUGGUACUAGGAGUUCUAGGAUAGAAGGAUUAUAUCAUUUAAGAGCUCUAAAGGCGGGGUUGAUCUCCCGUGCACAAACUGGUUAUGAGCUGAUGCCGCUCUCCUGACGAGGCCAUGAUAGACAGAAACCAAUUAUUAAGCUUAAAGAGAUUUGCUAUCUUACUUAAUGGACUAGACGCCUGAGCAAAAGUAGGCGUGGUAGGAUCUCGUACAGAAAAGCUAUUCACCAUAUUGUUCGCUGAAAUAACUAUAGAAGGAAGGCUGGCCUAGCAAAUUCCACUUGCCAGGUGCCGCACAGGUUGUUCCGCGGCCAAGGGAACUGUCGGCCUAUAAUACAUGCACAAUAAAUUUGGACACCUUGCAAACCAAAUUUUUUACUAAACACCAAGAGUGAGUACUCAUAUCCUUUCCUAAGCAAGAGAGUCCAAUAAGGCAGUGUCUACAUAGUACCGUGUUAACUUCAUAGAUUAGGUAAAUUGCAAUUUCAAAUUUCAUAUGGACAAUUUAAACAUUAAAUCUUUUCCAUUUAAUGAUAAAGAGACUAUCUUACUACUUGCUUAAUAUAUGUGCAUUGAACUCACUCUUUAGCAGCGGAAUCAAUCUAAAAACCUCGGUCUCAUUUUUUUUAAGAAUUCAUGAAUUUGAAAACUUAGAAAUCUAAUAUUCCCUGAAAAAUCAUAAAAAGUAUUCUUGGGUCUAUUUGAUAACACUUCUGUUUCGGAAAACAAUUUCUUUUUAGAAAUAAUAUUUUUAUAUUUCUAUUCCUCGGGACAAUUUCUCAAUAAAAGAAUGUGUUUAGUAACUAUACAAAAUUUCUAUUCUCGGAAUGGAAAAAGAAUAUAAAUAUGUUUAGUACGAUUCACAAUAAUAUAUAAUUUCUUUUAAUUUUUUUUAUUCUUCUUUACUGCUACCGACCAUUGUUGCCGCCAGCCAUCAUUAUUGCCGCCAGCCGUCGAUCAUCACUGCCCACUUCCAACCCCUACCGCCAAUGAUCAGUGGCAACAGGCGAUGGGCGGCAUUGUUGGCAAUCAUUGGUGAUGAAGGUCAGUGGUUGGUGGCGAUAGUGACGGUCGACCAGUCGCAGCGGUCAACUGACAACAAGCAACAAAGGAGGGUGGCAGCUGGCAAAUAAGAAGAAAAGAAAAGAGAAAAUAACUUAUUUCUAAAAAUUGUUCUUGAGAACAAGAAGUUACUUUUUUCUGCUUCUUAUUUCUGUUCCAAAUCUAUUUAUCGACCAUUUUUUUAUUCCAAGGAAUAGAAAAACUAAUUAACAUUACCAAAUGGAUCUAUGUUCUUCUUUUGUUCCUAGAAAUAAAAGAACGGAAAUUGGGAGAAACCGAAACGUUACCAUAGAUGGCCUUGAUCGACGCUGCCUUUGGAAAGAAUUUUAGUGCACCUCAAAGUAAUCAUUUAGCGAUAUGAAACGUCUUGAUACCAUGCAAGCACAUCCACGUCAAAUAGCUCAUUGCCCUUUCAUACCAAUUUCACUUUCCCUUUCCUCAAAACAAUCAUUUAACGGUCGUCAUGAUUCCAGGCAAGCACAUGCGUGUGGAAUAACUUAUUGUCCGUUCAUACCAUUUUCACUUUUCGUACGAUAUAAAAGAACUAUUUCAACUUCUUCCUUAAUAUUGAUAUGAAAAAUCAUUGUAAGUUAGAAUAGUCUAGUAUCAAUUGAGAAACAAAACUAUAAUAAUAAAAUUAAUUAGAAUCUCCGGUCCUUCAAAAUUAAGAUUCCUCAAAUCUUUAGCACCAUCCAAACUUAAAUGUGGAAUUUCUUAUUUUUGGUAAGAUUUUCUUUUUUUCACAAUAAUUUGUAUUAUCUAUCAAACUCGACAAAAUCUUUAUUGAAGUACUUUAUAUUAGAUUUUCUUCUGUUUCUAUUAGUCCACUUUGCUUGUACUUCUUUUCCAGCUGAUGGCGAUAUCAAGAAAAACCAGUUCACUUAAAAAGACAUUUACGCCCUUCUAAAAUCAAAAUCAGAUGAUGAUUCAAGAGCUUAGGCAUAAUUUUUUUUUUUUUUCAUGUGAGCAUCGAGGCGAUUGUGUGAGUAGGUAUUACUGUGCAAUUACGUUUGUUUUCCACAUCUACAUGAAUCCUAAGUUGUUUAGGAUUCUACUUCCCAGGAUCCUAGUCUGAAACGUCGCUUUCGUUGAUCAUCUCCUAGCACGUGCAGCUUCCAAAUAGAACAUACUAGGAUCAUUCAAUAUGUGCAGCAUCUAUGCGGUGGUUGAAGAAGUUACUUCUGUUUUUGAGUUUUUUUUUUUUUUUGUCAGUCAUACUCUAUGCCUACUCUAUACUCACUCUCAGACUUUUGACAUGCCUCUUGCAAGGCGUGGGAGUCGAAGCCCACUCCUGAAACUUACUCGUCCCCACCCCAUCCCCCUUGAGAAGGUGGGGAUUUGAACCCCUCACCUCCCCCUUUUAUGUGGCCACUGGGGCGAAUCCCAGUGAUUCUUCUAUUUUUGAGUUGAUAAUGGGUUUUAUGGGCCAAGCUUAAAGAAAGACACUGGAUUUAUAAAUUCAUGUAGAGAGAAAUGUUUACGUGGUUGUUUUUAAUCUAUUAUGGUAUUAAUAACUUGUUAUGGAUCAUAAAAAAAUAAUUAAUAAAUAAAUAACAAUCGUUGUGGGGUUCACUCUAAAAAUUGCAACUCACAAUAUACCGUUACUCUCAUAAUGACCCAAAAAAUGUCAUGCGAGCAAAACCCUUCUAUAUUUUAUAUGUUCUAUGUCGCUGGUGUGGGUAUUGAAUUGGAGCUACUAAUCCUUGUCUUAUACUAAAAGAUCAUUAUGCUUUAAGCUCCGUUUCUUUCGCAAAAAUUAAAUUAUUUGGAAAGAAAAUUUCUAAAAAUAAUCGCUCGUUUCGCUUAUAAAAUAAAUUGAUAAAAAAAAAUUCACAAAAAAAUUUAGAUAUAAUUUAUUAUUUAUAAUAAAAAUAUUUUUCAUCGACUGAUUAUUUUAAACUAUACAAGCAAUUAUUUUUUAGAAAAAUAUUUAUAAAAUUAUUCAUUUUUUCGCGAAAUAAACAAAAUUGAAUAAUUUUCCAUGCCUAAAUGGUCCGUAGGCAACUAUUGCGAUGAAAUCAAAUACUAUUUGUAUGUCCACGAAAAUCUCAAGGUAAUUGAAACUUUGGGUUUCCUUAGCCGAAGAAAUCUACUGUUGCGAGUUGAUUAUGGAUAAACUUAAAAGAUUAACAAGUUCAAGGACUCUCAUGGGCGGCGAACAAGGCAAUACAAAGAAAAGAAAAGAAAAGGGCAAAUGCUUGAUGAAGCUGGAACAAAUCUCGAACGAGAAUCCUGUCUCCACGCCCGAUCAUUCGUGGAUAUCGGUCUUAACUAGAUGAAUCCUUCCGUACUCUGCAUGCCGCCCGCCGCCAGCGUGGACUCUUGGGUCCUUAACUUUUCGAGAAAUCCGCAGUGCGGUGCGUGCGGUGCAAUGUCGUGUUGACUCUGCAAACGAAGACUUGCUUUGUUUAGUGAAAACUUCGACAUGUCUAAGAAAGAUGUUUUGUACUGAAAUCACUUUUAGCUAUCGUUUGGUCAUUAACUUGAAAAUGAUUCCCUCUCUUAAGGGUAGAGAAAAAUUUCCUCAUUGUUUACCAUAGAUUUUUUUAUAGAAUUAAUAAUACUGAAAUUUCCAAACUAGUACAUUUGUGAUCAAUUUAUCUUCUAUUAGUUUUUAUUAAAUUUUACUGUCAAAUUGCUAAGUUAGAUAAUAUAAAUAGUUGACAGAUAUACUAAUUUUGAGUUUUACUUUCCGUUUGUCACAGAUGUAUCAAUUUGUGUUUUUUUAUGGCAUUAACUCAAUUUAACGAAAAUUAACAAAUGAUAAAUUUAUUAUAAAUAUAUUAUAUUAAGGUUUUUUGUGAUCAAAAAAUUAGUUUAUGAUAAAUUUGUCAUGUAUGUAUCAAUUUUGAAUUUUUGAUGGUUGAAAAAUUAGUUUUAGGUAAAAUUAUCAAAGGUAAACCAAUUUAGAGACGUUUUAUGCGGAAAUCAUUUUUAGUUCUCGUUUGGUCAUUAACUUUAAAAUGAUUUCCUCUCUUUGAGAAUAGAGAAAAUUUUCCUUGUUUUUUAGCAUGGAUGUUUUCCUUCAUUGUAAAUGAUUUUUCGAUAAUCAAUCCAUUUUCGGUAACUAAGCAGGUAAAAAUAUCAAAAACAAAUUGUACAAAACCCUUUUUGGCUAAACAAACACUCAAGCUAUGUUUGGUCGUCCGGAUUUCUAAUCAGGAUAGGACUGGAUAAGAUAUGAUAUGAAAUCCUGGGAUUUUUCUAUAUCAUAUCCACUGUUUGGUGAAUCACAAUAUUAAAGUCGGAUAUGUUUACAUCAUGUCAUGUACAUUUAUUUAACAUAAAUAGCAUAUCAUUAUAAAUAAACCUAAAAAUUUAUAAAUGGAGAUGGUAAAAAUCUCUCAUGACACUAUUCCUUAAUUUAUUUUUAUUUUCUUUUAUUUUAUUAAUCCUCUUUUUAAAAUUAUUUUCUUCAUUAUUUCUUUUUUCCCUUUUCAUCAUUCUUUAAUAAAAUUUUAUUAAAUAGUAAACUGUACUUACAUACCUUAAAUACAAAAAUACCUAAAAUAUAUAAUAAAUAUAAAUAUAUAAUUUAUAGAUUGAAUGUUUAUUACAAGAUAGAAUUAAAGUUAAUUAUAUAAAUUAAAAUAAGAUUGAAUUAAAAAUAAUUUUUAAUUUCUUAAAAUAGAAUUCAAAUAUUAUUUAUAUUGAAAUAUAAUUUUAAUUUUGUUAAUUUAAUAAGUUUAUUAUUCGAGAAAAAUAACUUUCCUAUUAUGGACAUUAGAAAUCAUAUCCACAUUUAUCUCACCUCCCCCACGGGAUAAUUUUAUUCGGCCUAUAUUCCUCUUAUAUCCGAUUUUAUCCUAUCCUAAGCGAGCAUCAAACGUAAGAUAUAAUAAAUCAUAUUUUAUCCUGAAUUUUAUCCUGACCGUCAAACAUAACCUCAAAAGAUAAGCCAUUUCAAUUUCGAAAAGUGAUCUAAACAUUAAACCUUUCUCAUUUAAUGAUAAAGAGAUUAUCAUUUAUAUAUGUCUGCAUCGUGCUCCCUAUUCAAUCAAUGAACCAAUCUAAUAAUUUACCUCUCCUUUCUUCAAGAAGUUUUGAAUUAUUUAUAAGAUAAUCUUUUGUUGGCCAAAAAGUUACAAAAUUAAUUUAUGUGAUUGACUCUACAAGAAAAAAGAAUUUGCACCUGAAAACAAUCAUAUAUGGACUAUGAAACUCCAUAUAUAUAUGUAUGCAUGCAAAUGCAUGUCAAGCAGCUCAUUGCCCUCUCAUACCAUUUUUUCUUAUUAUUUCAUAUGAUAAAGUACACCUAAAAGGCAGUCUCAAUUUCUUCGAUAUCAAUUACAUUGAAUAUUACAGUAAAUUAUAAUAGUAUAAUUUCAAUUAAAAAAGCAAGCUACAGUUUAAAUUAAAUAAUAUUUCUAGCACUUCAAAAUUAAGAUUACUUAAAUUUCAAACACCAUCCAAACUUUAAUUUAGAUUUUCAUAUUGUUGGCAAGUUAAGCUAUAACGUCUACAGUUUUAGCCCGUGAGAAAUGGCUAUGAAAUUAGUGUGCCCCAAGGACCACUCCAAGAAUCACUUGCGAUGGAUCACGGACUAGUCAUGGAUCGGUCAUGGAUUAGCUUAGCGACCUUGCCACCCAGCCAUGCGCCAGGCCAUAAGCCCGGCCUUAUGCUAGGCCAUGAGUUGGCCUUAAGCCCGAUUAGCUUGACCCUAUGUUCGGCCAACUCUGGCCAUGCAUUGGCCAAGAUAGGCCAUUGAACUAGCCAUGUCGGUCAGGCUUGGUUACAUCCCACCUCGACCAAUUGUGAAUUAGCCACAAAUCUCAACUCGAAUGGUGCAAUUAAUUGUAGAUGAACAUGAAAAGCUCUCACACAAUAAUCUUGGCACUUUCAUCAGCUUCCUUCUCAUGUUUACAAAAUGUUCUUUGGAAGUUAGUCCAUAAAUGAAGAGAAUGACUCAUCAACUUAAGUGGUAAGGAACUUGGGUGGCAAGGAAGAGGAUUUGGUCAUAAUUACAUAUGACAACUUAAGUAGCAAGUUACUUGAGAAACAAGAAACAUGUGACUAAAUCUAAAGCCGAUUAUAACUAAAUCUUAGCUAACUCAUAUAGGAAUGAGUUGUCAUUCAAGUGGCAAGAUAGGGGUUUAACUUGAAGAACAAGUAAUCUAAUUAUGGUUUUUUGGAAGUUAGUAACUGAAUAAAAGGGAUGACUCACAUGGCCAAGUGGCAAGAAGGAGUUCAACUUGGAGAACAAAUAGUCUAACAUGUGACAAAAAUCCAAGCCUUAUGAUGACACCAAAUCUAAGCAAUUAAUGAAGAGAAUGACUCAUAAGCUUGGGUGUCCUUAUAGAAAUGAGGUUAUCAUUACAUUAAGAUAUUGUCUUGGAGAUCAAGUUUAGCCAAGUUAUUAUUGAAAGAUGACUCAUGACAUAGGUGGCCUAAUGAGAAGAAUGGCAAGUGCUCUUCUAGGGCCUUAGAACGUCAUUUCAUCAGGGUAGGCGUGCCACCUCUUCAAGAUAGUUUCUUCAUUAAGGCAAUGGCUUAUGGCUAAGUGACCAAUAAGAGACACUUUUAGGACUUUGAUCAUUUCUCUAGGCUAUUAGGGCACCAUCUCUCCUAAUUAGCCUUGCCACCUAAAGAAGUUAUUAGACCAUUUGGAAAAGGCAAUCAUUAAGGUUUUGCCUAUAAAUAAAAGCACCAACCCUUCAUUUCCCCCACAUUGGCUCAUUUCUCCCACCUCUCCUCUCUUGCACGCCCUUUCCCCCUCUCUCUCAACCAUUCGCUCUCUCGCCAUUCACCCCUCAUCAAUUUGCCAUCACUUGGCCAUUGGCCACCACCUGGACAAGUCGUAAGUGAAAUCUCUAACCUUCGACUAAGGCAAUGUGCUGCGUUGUUGGCUUGGUUGUGUUCUCAUCCAUGCUUAGUUGUGUACAUGCUGAUGGUUGUUUGUAUGGUUUGCUCAUGUCCUUGCAGUUACAAGUAGAAUUUCUAACCCUUAAUUAGAGCAAUGUGUUACAUUGAUGGAUUUAGUUAUGAGCCCACCCAUGUGUAGUUGUGUGCAUGAUAAGGAUUGAUUUAAUAAGGUUUGCUCAUGUCUUGCAUUCAUAAGUACAAUCACGCCACGAGUUACAGAUGAGUCUUACUCAGUUUUGGAAUCGAUGUUGAGGCGUGACAGACUAAACCUUACUUGGCCUUAGAUCAGCAUUGAGGCAUGUCAAUUUGAGCCUCGCUUGGCUUUGGGUUGACGCUUAAGCGUGUCAAUUCGAGCCACAAGUCACAUGUCAUGCUCAGCAUAGUAGUAAAGUAACAAUGUUAUAAGUCAUGACGCACACACGCACUUGUAUGAGCACGCUUUCAGACCUUAUUUACACCAACUAAAACGAAAGAAAAUAAAUUGAUUUGUGCAAUGUGGAACAUGUGAUCACCUAAUGAAAUAUAAGAUCUGUUGCCACUUGAGGUAACGACGAUGACCCCAUGCCAAUGGGAUGUUGUCGCCCAUUGAGAUGGCGACGAUACCUCAUUCAUGAGAAUGAGAUGUCCCCACGCCAACAAGAUGUCUCUUUAAUGAGAAUGAGAUGCCUCUAUGCCAAGAGGAUGCCUCAUUCAUGAGAACGUGAUACCUUGAUUGAGUCAAGAAGUCCUUGAAUGUAUGGGAUGCUUAGCUUGAUGGUCGACUGCCUCGCUUGAUGUUGGAAGCCCCUGAAAGUAUGGGAAGAAUCGUUUGAGACGGUCAAUGAACCUUUGUGCAUGUUGUUGUGUGUUGUUUGAUAAGUUUGAGGUAGAUCAUACAUUGAUGAUAAGCCAAAAUUGAUCGCAUGCAUAUAAUCAAGGUUUAGCAAAGGAAUUGUUAUUGAUUUGCCAUCGAUGUUGUAGUGCAAGUAAUGUUUGCAUGCUAGAUUCGAUGACAAGCUGUCCUCCUAUAUGAGGAUUAGUGACUUCACUUGUUGAGUCAUUGACUCACUCUUUUAUCUUUCAGACUUGUAGGUAUGAAUACCAAUUUUGGAGCUUCAACUUCCAUAGAGGAGAUAGGGAUACCUCAAGCUUAUGCAAAUAGAUAUAGCAUCAUGGAAAAAGAUAUGUUUCAUAGAGAAAUGGCUUGUAAUAUACUAAUGUAAUUUAAAAGUAGUACAUUUGUGGUGUCUUUUCCUGGCUGUUGUUUAUUGUGUUGUCUUAGAGAUCGUUGAUGGACACGCUUUCGCAUGCUCACUAAGGGUCCAGGGUGGGUAGGGUCUAGACCUAGACCAUGUACCCAACCAUAUUAUAACUAAUUCCUCUUUUCUGGACUCUAUACCCGACCCUGUUUGUAUUGGACCCUAUACCCAAUCUAUCAUGUUUUUCCGAUCUGGUUCCAAGGUCAGCCCGGUUUCCACUAGAACCUGUUUUGCAACCUCUCGAUAUCUUAUACGAUUUCAAAUUUUAUAUUAAUACGCGAGAAAAUAAUGUAAUCCUCCUAAUUUUUAUUAAAACAUUAAGCACUUGUAAUAAAUAAAUACAUGAAAUUUUUGACUAAAUGAAAAAUUAAGGAUCCACAAGGCUAAUUAUAAUAAAUAAAAUCAUAAGGCAAAGAAUUAGCAACAAACAUGGGUCUAAUAAUAGUCUUAUUCCCACAACUACUACAUGAAGUUACUCAUUUAUGCAAGCAUAACUCCUCCUACAAAAAAUAAAUUAGGCAAGAUAAUCCAUGUGAUACACAAGAAUUUGGCGGCGACGAAUACCGUCCGUCAUCGGACGGUGCGAGAGGGAGCCGAUGAGGGAGAGAAGCAAGUGAGGAAGAAGAAUGACAAAGGAGGAGUAUCGUGCAUGUUUGAGAGAGCCAAGAAGAAAUACGUCGUGUGAUUGCGGGAGUGAGAAUAGAAAUUGAGGGAAAAAAAAAAAGGGUUUUUGACCUCUACUUACAAAACUGGUUUGGGAACUAGUCCAAGAACCGGUUUCCGAGUGAGUAAUCACUCGAAACCUGUUCCUGGACCGGUUUAAACCGGUUCCCGGACCAGUUUCAGAAUGAACCGGUUUCAACGGAAACCAGUUCCCGACUCUGUUUUCCGAGUGGGCCGGUCCGGGAAUCAGGUAUACUCGGUCCAGUUGCACACCCCUAAUGCUCACACCUAGGACGUUGUAUUAAUAAUCCCUCGUCAGAUUGUUACAUAAGCUUUUUUAAAAUUACAAAAAUAUAAACCAUCUCUCAAGCUAGACAAUAUCGUGAUUAAGGUAAUUUAAAUAUGAUUUUUUUCCUUUUUUUUCAAGACUAGCAAUACAAAAAACUCUAACAUCUACAUGCGUGUCAUAUGUACUGAAAAUUAAUUUUAGAUUGCAAAAAAUCUUACAUUGUUACACUCAAGUCACAUUUAUCGCAUUUUUUUCCUAAUUUAUGAUAUUAAAAAUUAAUUUGUGAUAAAUAUAGCACUAAUAUAUCCGUUUGAGAAUUUUAUAUAGAUAAAAAUAAUUAAUUUAAGAUAAAUGUAACAGACAAUUAAUUUCAUGCACUUUUUUCCGGUGAAGGAUCAGAUCGAGGGAAGUCAAUUCGCUGGAAAAAGACGCUUAUGCCCUUCUGGAAUCAAAAUAUAGAUGGGCUUCCGUGCGAAGUACCUCCUCAUUUUAGCGCGCUCUCUCCCUUUCUUACAAGCAGCUGGAGCAGAGUCGCUCAGGAGACCGAGCGAGCUCGCCGGAGAAAACCCACCGACUCCGCCGUGAAAAGCCACUCCGAGAUGGCGGAGAAGAGCAAAGUCCUGGUGAUCGGAGUGACCGGACUCAUCGGAAAGUUCGUCGUGGAAGCGAGUGCUAAGUCCGGUCACCCCACCUUCGCUCUCCUGGCACCGCCGUCCACUCCGUCCGACCCUGCCGAGGCCGACCUCGUCGAAGGUUUCAAGAGCUUAGGCGUCCGUGUGGUUCAGGUGAGAAGCUAUGCCCGUGCGAUCGCGUUCGUUUCCGACAUCUGGUCCUGCUUCGAGGAACCGAAGCCUCGCCUGCCGUUGAAUCUUUGCUCGUCGUCCUGAGAAAUGUCUUCAGCAGUAGAAUCGGAGCUGAUUUUCGUCUCGAUCUCUUACUCGAUCGAGUUGAUUGGAGUCGCGUUGGGCUUUGGCGUUGUUCAUUAUCUUUUCUGAUAUUUUGUCUUUGUUCGUGAAAAAGGUGAAAUCUUUUGUGACGAAUCAUCUCAGCUUUCCAUGUUGAUUCGAACGAGCGCAUUUUCAGGCAAAUCUUACAGAAACUUCCUUAUGCCUUAGCUGUUUAUGAGACAGCUACAGCUACACUCUGACCUGUUGUUCAGAUCCCAUGGACGAGAAUUCUGUGGAUAGUAGCUUGUUAUUUAUUUGUCUUCGUAUUUUUUCUUGUCUGAUAAAGGUAUUGAAGUAUUAUCUUCAUCGGUUAUGAAUCCCACUGCCAAACCAGGAUUUGUUGAUGAUUGCUGACUUCAUCGAUUGUUGGUUCAUGCUCUUGGUCCUUUGAUUCUCAGGGAGAUAUAAAUGAUCCGGAUACUCUGUUGACUGCGAUCAGGAAGGUCGAUGUGGUAAUAUCUACCGUUGAGACAUCACCAGAGGACCAAUACAAGAUUGUUGCUGCCAUUACGAUGGUCGGAAAUAUAAAGGUGGCGCUGUUUCGAAUGAUUUUGUCCUUGUCAUCAUUGUUUGUUUAGCAAUCGACUGAUGAUACAGGUUGUGUUAGCUUAAUUCUUUCCUUCCGGUAUAAGUGGAUCACCUUCUCCUUGCGAGCUUCGUUUUGAUGAAAUAGGAUGCAUUGACUUACAUAUCUGUAGACUUCACAUCUUUUGGUCAUGACUUUGUGUAGAAGUCUUCGAUGAAAUUUGAGAAUAACUAUUUCACAUCCAAGUGUAGCCCAGUGUGCAUAUUGCGCUGCCCACAUACUCCAGGAGGCUUCAUAUGUAUAUAUAUCCAGAACCUGUGUUUGGGUUUCCUGUAGGUCAGUGAAAAAAACACAUGUUUCGAGCACUCGAUAUGGACUAUGGACGUGUAUCCAAGCUGUUCGAUCAUGAAUUCGCAGGGAACAUGAACUAGUUUAACCUUGAAAUGGUCUUUUUCAGGAGUAUUAUUUUUGCAUAUAUGUUCCCCAGCCCUACUUACUGGGAUAGUACUUAGUAGUAAUUGUUGUUGCUUCGGGUGGUAAACGGUCAACGAUGAGUGGAACUCAGCAUGCUCCCAAAAGGCAAUACACUUACCUGAUAUCUUAUCACUUGUGAAAGUGUCCAUCCAAGCAAGCAGCAUAGUUGCAUAUUUUAUACUCGACAGAGUUAUCUGGCUGCUGCCUAACAUUGGAAUCUUCACUUUCCAUUUCUUCUAUUUUUCUAAUAGCACUUGGGGUAGAAUUUGCUUAAUUGCUGGAUUUGUUUUCUCACUUAUGGUCACAUUUUACUCUGUUAUAGCAACAUAUUGACCCAAAAAAAAAAAAAAGUACUUCAGUCUCGUAUAAGUUUGUUUUGUUUUAUUUUGCCAGAACUCGUAUAAUUUUGUUGUAUAAGGGGAAUGUGCUCUAAAUUUGCGUUGCUUUCCAAUAGAAAUGUUUCUUCUGAUUUGGCGAUUUUUCUUUAUAGAGAUUCUUGCCUUCAGUGUUUGGAAGUCAUGUGGAUCGUGCCCAUGCUGUGGAGCCAGCAAGAACUUUUUAUGCUGCUUACUAUACCAACAUCCUCCGCCUUCUUGAGGAACAGGGAAUCCCGUAUACCUAUGUGUCUUGUAACUUUCUAGCUGGUUGGCACAGUUCGACGUUGGCACAGCCCGGGGCUACAGCUCCCUCUAGAGAUAAAGUUGUCAUCUUAGGGGAUGGUAAUGCAAAAGGUAAGAAGCAAUUCGUUGAAAUACAUAUUCUGACUGCUCAGGAUUUUGCUGUACAAUUUUUAUGAUUUAAUUACGGGAGUGUUGAGAUUGAGAGCAGUUCCUCAAGCUUGAGAAUUUUGAGGCAACUCCCUAUCUAGAGAUGUCGGGCUUUUUACAUCCAUUAGUCUUGACUUCUGGAGACUAAUAAAUGAUACGAAAGUGAUGCUGGUUAUCUUGGCACAAUACCUAUUAAGAAGGUUAUCUCUAUGUAUCAGGUUGAGAAAAGAACAUAUGAAUGCAUUCAUCAGAUGAAUCUUUAUUUCAAGAGAGUUCUUUAAAUGUGAACCGAAAGUAACUCUAGGAAAAUCAAAGUUUUUGUGAUAUAUUUAUUAGCCAAAUACUAAAAUUCUCCCUGUCAAUAUACAGUGGUGUUUAACAGGGAGGAUGACAUCGGCACCUAUACCAUCAAAGCCAUGGAUGAUCCAAGGACCUUGAACAAAAUUCUGUACAUCAG
rnacentral:lncRNA from 1 species